GUUGGAAUAAUCUAGUGAUGGAGAGUUACUCAAUUUCAAAGAAAAAAAAUUCCAGCAUCUGAUAUACAGUCUAGGAUUUAAACCAAACUCAAUGACUUUUCAGCAUAGAUUUCUAUUAUAGAUUUAUGAUCUUGAUUGUCCCUCUGGUAUCUUAAGAAUCCCCAAGGGUGACUGGGGUAUAGAAAUAUGGUCACUUGGUCUUCUCCCGACCGGCAGUAAAACGCUUGCUGAAGUGGGGCGUCCGUUUGGCUGUGCGGGAUGUAUCAAGUUCGCAGUCACGUCCGUCAGAAGGGGACGUUAAAUCCGAUGCCUCGUGUAAAGAGAGUGCCACGCUCUUUGCACGUUAAGAACCCUUGCAACAACUCUUUGAGGGGUCCGUAGGUGGCCUGUUGCAAGGCAAAAUUUCUGUCCCUAUCCAAUAUACCCUCAUUUUCCAGUGGCAGUCCAAAUUUCCCCGACCAUCAUCCUAGAUGGCCUCUAUUACAACAACCUACCUAUUGUAUUUAUUGUGAACUUGUUCUCGUCCUGAAUAUGCAUGAAAUAUUUGCCACUGGACGUUAAGCAACCAACAAUCAAUCAAUCAAUGGUAUCUUAAGUCCCUAUUUUUCUACUCUUUAACUUCCGGAGUCUUUGCCUUGGUUGUAACUCAUCAAACUUUUUUCCACAAUUCGGAUAUACUGCUUUUUUAUGUUAUCGAUAUAUAUAGUCAGUGUUGAGUUUUUUCUUUGAAAUGGAUUCUAUAUGAUCAAUAUAUUCUGUAUGAUCAAUACAUGUGUCGAAAUAGUCAGC
rnacentral:lncRNA from 1 species